GGUGCAGUAACAUCAACAUUAACUGCAGUACCGUCCAUUAUCUGCCCCGCACUCCGAUUGAGUUCAUCAAUAGAUGGAACAAAAAGAUGGGACCUCUCGUUUUGAGGCUCCUUGCCGCCAAUGUACAGGAAUAACCGAUCAACCAAAGCGUCCACAAAGCCAGGAGCAUCUUCUCCACGACCCAAGGCAACCAAUCCCAGUGAGAACCCAGCUGCAACUGCAUAUCCCUCCCUUUCAAGUACAUUAUCUCCUCCACUUCUACGGCCUAUUUCACCCAGAAGAAUUUGCAUUGUUUGGGGAUGUGCAGAUCCCUCAUACAGGAGCCCAACAGAAAGGAGAGCUGCUGACUGCAACAGGG
rnacentral:misc_RNA from 1 species